rnacentral:rRNA from 1 species
CAAUAGCGUAUAUUAAAGUUGUUGCAGUUAAAAAGCUCGUAGGUGAAUUUUUGCUUGCCGCCGAUGUCGGAACUUCCGUACGUUCGGCGGCGUGCAUCCUUGGGUGGAACCUGUGUGGCAUUAGGUUGUCGUGCAGGGGAUGCUCAUCGUUUACUGUGAAAAAAUUAGAGUGUUCAAAGCAGGCUUACGCCGUUGAAUAUAUUAGCAUGGAAUAAUAAGAUAGGACCUUGGUACUAUUUUGUUGGUUUGCGCACCGAGGUAAUGAUUAACAGGGACAGUUGGGGGUAUUCGUAUUCCAUUGUCAGAGGUGAAAUUCUUGGAUUUCUGGAAGACGAACUACUGCGAAAGCAUUUACCAAGGAUGUUUUCAUUAA